AUUGAACGCUGGCGGCAUGCCUUACACAUGCAAGUCGAACGGCAGCACGGGUACUUGUACCUGGUGGCGAGUGGCGAACGGGUGAGUAAUACAUCGGAACGUACCUUAUCGUGGGGGAUAACGCAGCGAAAGCUGUGCUAAUACCGCAUACGCCCUGAGGGGGAAAGCGGGGGAUCGAAAGACCUCGCGCGAUUAGAGCGGCCGAUGCCUGAUUAGCUUGUUGGUGGGGUAAAAGCCCACCAAGGCGACGAUCAGUAGCUGGUCUGAGAGGACGAUCAGCCACACUGGGACUGAGACACGGCCCAGACUCCUACGGGAGGCAGCAGUGGGGAAUUUUGGACAAUGGGGGAAACCCUGAUCCAGCAAUGCCGCGUGAGUGAAGAAGGCCUUCGGGUUGUAAAGCUCUUUUGUCAGGGAAGAAACACCGGCUCUAACACAGUCCGGGAAUGACGGUACC
rnacentral:rRNA from 3 species